rnacentral:rRNA from 1 species
AUUGAACGCUGGCGGCAGGCCUAACACAUGCAAGUCGAACGAGUGGCGGACGGGUGAGUAAUGUCUGGGAAACUGCCUGAUGGAGGGGGAUAACUACUGGAAACGGUAGCUAAUACCGCAUACCAUCGGAUGUGCCCAGAUGGGAUUAGCUAGUAGGUGGGGUAAAGGCUCACCUAGGCGACGAUCCCCAGCUGGUCUGAGAGGAUGACCAGCAACACGUGAACGGAGACACGGCCCAGACUCCUACGGGAGGCACCAGUGAGGAAUAUUGCGCAAGGGGCGGAAGCCUGAUGCAGCCAUGCCGCGUGUAUGAAGCAGGCCUUCGGGUUGUAAAGUACUUUCAGCGGAGAGGCGUUACCCGCAGAAGAAGCACCGGCUAACUCCGUGCCAGCAGCCGCGGUAAUUC